AGAUAAGAGAAUAAAAGCAGGCUGCCUUGAGCCAGUAGUAACAACUGGCUCUGGUUUCUUCCUGCUUUGUAGCAGGGAGGAAGAAGAGCUUUCUCUGGAAAUGAAAUCAAGCAGCUUUCCUUGUAUUGAAAGGAAAGCGACUGAAGACAGAGUGUUCCAAGAACCAAGAGAAUGAAUGUGGCUGAUGUGUGGAGAGAAGAGAUGGACCAAGAUGAGACUGGAAAGAAGAGCCAAACCUAUAUCAAAC
rnacentral:lncRNA from 1 species